GGUGAGAGGGAGGCGCAACGGCCGUUACAAGUCUCCCUCAGCCACGCCCGGGCCGCCGCCGCUGAGGAGAUGGAUUUAAUGCCAUAACUAUUUCAUGUUCCAGUUGGAAUUGCAGCCAGAAUACAAUCCCUCAUUCUUAUCACCAGACUGGCUUGAUCAAGAUAGGGUGGAAUUAGACUGGAACAGUUUUUUUUUUUUAUAUGGAUCAACUACUCUCUGGUGGAAUUUUUCUGUCCUCCUCAAAAUUAUGAGAAAUACACAAUUAAGAUUUUAAAAUUUCUAUUGGCAGUAUUCUUCAGCUGGAAAGAAGAGGUAAAAAAAUAGGUUUUCUAAAUUGAAAUAAGGUGUCUAAAGAGCCCACAGCAGUAAAUUUCCUUGAAAUAUUGUCACAACCAUGAGUUCUGUAUUUCUCUUUCCCAUUUUUUUCAGCUUCUUUAAGUUAGGCAAAUGAAUGGAGUAAAGAUCUGAAAUAUGAAAACAGAUAGCGCAGCUGGCAUUCAGCGUACAAAAGUAUCAGGAAAUAUAUUCAGAUUCUUAGACUGAGCUAGCACAGCAGUAAUACUUUCCAGAUCUAUGAGGCACCUAACAGAGUGGAUAUGCAAAUCAGUAGGAGUGUGACAAGUGGUGGGGAAAAAGGUCAUUUAAUGAAUAUACUCUGGGGUUUUCUCUUAUCAGAAUUUCUCCGAGAGGUACAUUUCAACAGUGUUCAUUUGAAAAUAAAUCUAACCUGCUUGUUGAAAAUUGGA